rnacentral:rRNA from 1 species
GCCAUCGGAAGCACCGGUGGUGCAGCCUGCACACUGGUAAAGAGCCGCAGUAUCUUGACUGUGCAAAGGUAGCAUAAUACAUUGCCCCCUAACUAGGGGCUGGCAUGAAAGGCCACACUCAGUCAGAAGUCUCCGAACUUGAACCUAACUUGGUCUUCAAAAGGAGCCCAUCAAACCCCGGGACGAGAAGACCCUAGAAGCUAAGGGAGACUCUCGGUUGGGGCAAUCAGGAGAGGAACACGACCUGUUAUGAGUUACUCUAGGGAUAACAGCACGCUGGUCCUCUAGAGUACAGAUCGAAAGGACAGUUGGUGACCUCGAUGUUGAGUUGAGUGGAGCAGGGGCUAGGGUCUGUUCGUCCCUUAGUCACUCACA